rnacentral:rRNA from 1 species
GAUGAACGCUGGCGGCGUGCCUAAUACAUGCAAGUCGAGCGAACAGACGAGGAGCUUGCUUCUCUGACGUUAGCGGCGGACGGGUGAGUAACACGUGGAUAACCUACCUAUAAGACUGGGAUAACUUCGGGAAACCGGAGCUAAUACCGGAUAAUAUAUUGAACCGCAUGGUUCAAUAGUGAAAGACGGUUUUGCUGUCACUUAUAGGUGGAUCCGCGCCGCAUUAGCUAGUUGGUAAGGUAACGGCUUACCAAGGCGACGAUGCGUAGCCGACCUGAGAGGGUGAUCGGCCACACUGGAACUGAGACACGGUCCAGACUCCUACGGGAGGCAGCAGUAGGGAAUCUUCCGCAAAGGGCGAAAGCCUGACGGAGCAACGCCGCGUGAGUGAUGAAGGUCUUCGGAUCGUAAAACUCUGUUAUUAGGGAAGAACAAAUGUGUAAGUAACUAUGCACGUCUUGACGGUACCUAAUCAGAAAGCCACGGCUAACUACGUG